AUUGAACGCUGGCGGCAUGCCUUACACAUGCAAGUCGAACGGCAGCACGGGUGCUUGCACCUGGUGGCGAGUGGCGAACGGGUGAGUAAUAUAUCGGAACGUGCCUCAUAGUGGGGGAUAACGCAGCGAAAGCUGUGCUAAUACCGCAUACGCCCUGAGGGGGAAAGCGGGGGACCGUAAGGCCUCGCGCUAUGAGAGCGGCCGAUACCUGAUUAGCUUGUUGGUGGGGUAAAAGCCCACCAAGGCGACGAUCAGUAGCUGGUCUGAGAGGACGAUCAGCCACACUGGGACUGAGACACGGCCCAGACUCCUACGGGAGGCAGCAGUGGGGAAUUUUGGACAAUGGGGGCAACCCUGAUCCAGCAAUGCCGCGUGAGUGAAGAAGGCCUUCGGGUUGUAAAGCUCUUUUGUCAGGGAAGAAACAGCAGCUCUAACACAGUCUGCGAAUGACGGUACCUGAAGAAUAAGCACCGGCUAACUACGUGCCAGCAGCCGCGGUAAUACGUAGGGUGCGAGCGUUAAUCGGAAUUACUGGGCGUAAAGCGUGCGCAGGCGGUUAUACAAGACAGGCGUGAAAUCCCCGGGCUUAACCUGGGAAUGGCGCCUGUGACUGUAUAGCUAGAGUGUGUCAGAGGGGGGUAGAAUUCCACGUGUAGCAGUGAAAUGCGUAGAUAUGGGAGGAAUACCAAUGGCGAAGGCAGCCC
rnacentral:rRNA from 1 species